AGAAGAGCAAUUGCAGGAACAGCGUUGAUUAUUGCAAAAACAUCAUUAAGCUCAAAUGCUCCUUCUCUUGGUCGAUGAUGUGACUGCAACAAUUCAAAUUCAUAUUUGAAUAAUGUAUUUAUGGAUUCAGAAAAAAGAAGAGAGAAAAUGGGAAGCAGAGCACCUGAUGCAUGUGCCACAGGGAAGCAUGCCAUAGAAUCUCAUGAGCCCAUCUAGCCCAAAAUUCCAUACCUACCUGAAAAUGAAUCAUACCCAAUUGAAUUUUAUCUCCAAAAUUACCCAAUUGAGAAAUAGUCACAAGACUUACAGCAGCACCGACUGAGAGAGCAAAUGUGCCAAACAUUUCAGACCAAGGAACCUCUCCACUACCCUAUCAUAUAAACAACCAAAACAUAAUUCAAAAGACAAUCUUUAAGCUUGACAGAAUCAAACAAUAUAUAUAUACCUCCAUUUGCCAUGAGAAUCUAUAAUAAACAGCUAAGAUUGCCAUAGAAGUGACACCAAAGCUAGACAUUACAGCUGCAACUAGGUAAGUGAAUCUUUGAGACUUCUUUCUAGCCAAUUUUUGUGCAACUAUUUCUUCCUCAGUUUUCAACUGGGAUGUAUGUUUUGGAUCUUCCGUUAGAACACAAACGGUGAAGCAUGUUGAUUUUCUUGUUCUUUGGGUUUCAAGGAUUUUGCUAUGAGGGAAACUUCUUAAAGGGGUGAAGAACAGUGUUUUAGGGGAAGGGGAAGGGGAAGAAGUUGAGGGUUGGAGGAGAUUGUAGGGCUUUAAGGUUGUGGCGGUGUAAAGUUCUGCCGCCAUAGAGAAAGAGAAUGAAGGUUACGAUGGUAGUGUUGUUAGAGAUGCGUGUGGAAUGAAGAAGGUUGGUGUGAGAUAGUGAAAGAAGAGAAGGGAUUGAUUAUAAACCACAAUUUUGCGGUGUUGUGUUGUGUUGCUGAGUGUGAAACAAUCAAUAUAUAUACAAAAAGAAAUGAAAUUGAGGAGGUGGUGUUGUGGUCGGUUUAUUACAAAAACAAAAACAAAAUAGAAAAACUAGUGGAACAAUUUAAGAUCUUUCAUGUCUUUUAGAAGGAAUGCUUAUUUAACAUAUCACCCCAAAAAAAGAACAAUUUCAAGGUUCGGUUUAUUUCAAUCAAAUAAAUCAUUU
rnacentral:lncRNA from 1 species